rnacentral:rRNA from 1 species
AUUGAACGCUGGCGGCAUGCUUUACACAUGCAAGUCGAACGGUAACAGGCCGCAAGGUGCUGACGAGUGGCGAACGGGUGAGUAAUGCAUCGGAACGUGCCCAGUCGUGGGGGAUAACGCAGCGAAAGCUGCGCUAAUACCGCAUACGAUCUAUGGAUGAAAGCGGGGGACCGUAAGGCCUCGCGCGAUUGGAGCGGCCGAUGUCAGAUUAGGUAGUUGGUGGGGUAAAGGCUAACCAAGCCAACGAUCUGUAGCUGGUCUGAGAGGACGACCGGCCACACUGGGACUGAGACACGGCCCAGACUCCUACGGGAGGCAGCAGUGGGGAAUUUUGGGCAAUGGGCGCAAGCCUGAUCCAGCAAUGCCGCGUGCAGGAAGAAGGCCUUCGGGUUGUAAACUGCUUUUGUACGGAACGAAACGGUCCUGGUUAAUACCCGGGGCUAAUGACGGUACCGUAAGAAUAAGCACCGGCUAACUACGUGCCAGCCGCCGCCGUAACAC